rnacentral:rRNA from 1 species
CCUACGGGAGGCAGCAGUAGGGAAUAUUGGGCAAUGGAGGCGACUCUGACCCAGCCAUGCCGCGUGCAGGAAGAAGGCGUACGCGUUGUAAACUGCUUUUUUUCGGGAAGCGGUACCGAAGGAAUCAGCACCGGCUAACUCCGUGCCAGCAGCCGCGGUAAUACGGAGGGUGCAAGCGUUGUCCGGAUUCAUUGGGUUUAAAGGGUGCGCAGGCGGGACAUUAAGUCAGGGGUGAAAGACGGUUGCUCAACAAUCGCAGUGCCUUUGAUACUGGUGUUCUUGGGUGACCUUGAGGUAGGCGGAAUGGGUGGUGUAGCGGUGAAAUGCAUAGAUACCACCCAGAACUCCGAUUGCGAAGGCAGCCUACUGGGGUAACCGACGCUCAGGCACGAAAGCGUGGGGAUCAAACAGGAUUAGAUACCCUUGUAGUC